AGCAGCCGCGGUAAUUCCAGCUCCAAUAGCGUAUAUUAAAGUUGCUGCAGUUAAAAAGCUCGUAGUUGAAUUUCGGGAUCAAUAUGUUGGUCGUGCCUCGGUACGUACUAGCUUAUUGGUUUCUCCCUUCUGAUGAACCAUGAUGUCAUUUAUUUGGUGUUAUGAGGAAUCAGGACUGUUACUUUGAAAAAAUUAGAGUGUUUAAAGCAGGCUCACGCUUGAAUGCAUUAGCAUGGAAUAAUGAAAUAGGACGUUUGAUUCUAUUUUGUUGGUUUCUAGGAUCGACGUAAUGAUUAAUAGGGAUAGUUGGGGGCAUUAGUAUUCAAUUGUCAGAGGUGAAAUUCUUGGAUUUAUUGAAGACUAACUACUACGAAAGCAUUUGCCAAGGAUGUUUUCAUUAAUCAAGAACGAAAGUUAGGGGAUCGAAGACGAUCAGAUACCGUCGUAGUCUUAACCAUAAACUAUGCCGACUAGGGAUCGGAUGAUGUUAAUUUUUAAUGUACU
rnacentral:rRNA from 1 species